GAAACCUCAUCUUGCUCACGCGCCAUCCAGGUGCUGAGCAGUGUUUUUGCAAGAAAGCACAGACACUCCGCCUGGAUGAGGAGAGAAG
ncrna:unclassified sequences RAGATH-10 RNA